UACAGAGGUCUCAAGCGUUGUUCGGAUUCAUUGGGCGUAAAGGGUGUGUAGGUGGCGCCGUAAGUCGAACGUGAAAUCCCCGGGCUCAACCCGGGAACUGCGUCCGAUACUGGAAGGCUUGAAUCCGGGAGAGGGAUGUGGAAUUCCAGGUGUAGCGGUGAAAUGCGUAGAUAUCUGGAGGAACACCGGUGGCGAAGGCGACAUCCUGGACCGGUAUUGACGCUGAGGCGCGAAAGCCGGGGGAGCAAACGGG
rnacentral:rRNA from 1 species